rnacentral:rRNA from 1 species
GCAAGUCGAGGGGCAGCAUAAAUUACUUGUAAUUUGAUGGCGACCGGCGAACGGGUGCGUAACGCGUAUGCAACUUACCUUUUACUAGAGAAUAGCCAAGAGAAAUUUUGAUUAAUGCUCUAUACACUUACUAACUUUCAUGAGUUUGUAAGAAAAGCUCCGGCGGUAAAAGAUGGGCAUGCGUCCUAUUAGCUUGUAGGUGAGGUAACGGCUCACCUAAGCUCCGAUAGGUAGGGGUCCUGAGAGGGAGACCCCCCACACUGGUACUGAGACACGGACCAGACUUCUACGGAAGGCAGCAGUAAGGAAUAUUGGACAAUGGAGGAAACUCUGAUCCAGCCAUGCCGCGUGAAGGAUGACGGCCUUAUGGGUUGUAAACUUCUUUUAUACAGGAAUAAACCUAUCCACGUGUGGAUAGCUGAAGGUACUGUAAGAAUAAGGAUCGGCUAACUCCGUGCCAGCAGCCGCGGUAAUACGGAGGAUCCAAGCGUUAUCCGGAAUUAUUGGGUUUAAAGGGUCCGCAGGCUGUUUGUUAAGUCAGAGGUGAAAUCCUACCGCUCAACGGUAGAACUGCCUUUGAUACUGGCAAACUUGAGUUAUUGUGAAGUAGUUAGAAUGUGUAGUGUAGCGGUGAAAUGCAUAGAUAUUACACAGAAUACCGAUUGCGAAAGCAGAUUACUAACAAUUAACUGACGCUGAGGGACGAAAGCGUGGGUAGCGAACAGGAUUAGAUACCCUGGUAGUCCACGCCGUAAACGAUGGUCACUAGCUGUUCGAUGUACAUUGGUACAUUGAGUGGCUAAGCGAAAGUGAUAAGUGACCCACCUGGGGAGUAC